rnacentral:rRNA from 1 species
UACGUAGGCAGCGAGCGUUGUUCGGAGUUACUGGGCGUAAAGGGUGUGUAGGCGGUUGUUUAAGUUUGGUGUGAAAUCGUCCCGGCUCAACUGGGAGGUGCGCCGAAUACUGAAUGACUUGGAGUGCGGGAGAGGAGAGUGGAAUUCCUGGUGUAGCGGUGAAAUGCGUAGAUAUCAGGAGGAACACCGGUGGUGUAGACGGCUCUCUGGACCGUAACUGACGCUGAGGCACGAAAGCGUGGGGAGCAAACAGG